rnacentral:rRNA from 1 species
GGUGAGUAACACGUGGGUGAUCUGCCCUGUACUUCGGGAUAAGCCUGGGAAACUGGGUCUAAUACCGGAUAUGACCUUCGGUUGCAUGACCGUGGGUGGAAAGAUUUAUCGGUACAGGAUGGGCCCGCGGCCUAUCAGCUUGUUGGUGGGGUAAUGGCCUACCAAGGCGACGACGGGUAGCCGGCCUGAGAGGGCGACCGGCCACACUGGGACUGAGACACGGCCCAGACUCCUACGGGAGGCAGCAGUGGGGAAUAUUGCACAAUGGGCGAAAGCCUGAUGCAGCGACGCCGCGUGAGGGAUGACGGCCUUCGGGUUGUAAACCUCUUUCGACAGGGACGAAGCGCAAGUGACGGUACCUGUAGAAGAAGCACCGGCCAACUACGUGCCAGCAGCCGCGGUAAUACGUAGGGUGCGAGCGUUGUCCGGAAUUACUGGGCGUAAAGAGCUUGUAGGCGGUUCGUCGCGUCGUUCGUGAAAACUUGGGGCUCAACCCCAAGCUUGCGGGCGAUACGGGCGGACUAGAGUACUUCAGGGGAGACUGGAAUUCCUGGUGUAGCGGUGAAAUGCGCAGAUAUCAGGAGGAACACCGGUGGCGAAGGCGGGUCUCUGGGAAGUAACUGACGCUGAGAAGCGAAAGCGUGGGUAGCUAACAGGAUUAGAUACCCUGGUAGUCCACGCCGUAAACGGUGGGUACUAGGUGUGGGUUUCCUU